AAUUAAACAGGAAGAGGAAGUUCCGACAUACAUUUUGUCUUUGGUGUAUUUCAGUCUGAUGCUCUCAGAGUCAGCAGUGAGACAUUAUGGAGAUUACAGCUCUCAGCAUUCGACUUUUGACUGCUAUUUUAGUCCUGAUCACCGUACAAACUGACCACAGUAACAUUGCUGGUGCAGUUUUCCCUCGCUUUUCUCCUAACAGACUUCAAUUCUUUGAAUACGAGUCUGUUUCUGUACAUUGUGAGGAAGAUGACAGCAUCACUGAAUGGAGUGUGAAGUGGAAAUCCCAUAAAAUAACAAAUUCUUCCCACACAUCAAACACAUCAGCAUCACCCUGCACAAUUUAUCCUAUCUUUGAAAGACACAGUGGAGAAUACUGGUGUGAAAAUGAAGAGGGCAAACGAAGUGAGG